rnacentral:sRNA from 1 species
CAUUUGCUUCAAUCUGCCGAAGCCAUC